AUGUACCACCAGGUGAAAGUAGCACCAUCAGCGUCCGUCGCCUUCAUCCUGGACGUCCCCAUGUUGUUUAUGUACUGCCCAAAGGCACAUCAGGUGCUUCUCCUCCAUGGUUGAUUGUUCACUAGGCUGGCCCGUAGAAGCACCAUCGCUCAGGACUAGAUACUAUUGUUUUGCCUAUUCCCUGCUUUGGUCGUGAUUAAUGACGAUGCUAUCUUCUCUACGAUUCUGCACAUUGUUGAAUUUUAAAGGCGAGGGCUUCCACAUGCCCAGGUCCUUUUCUGGUUGAGAGAGGAUGGUCUAAAGAUUGAUGACCCAUUUGGUUUCCGCUUCGUUACUUUCUACUCUGCUGAUAGAACAUCGAAGGAUCUGCGCGUGACACAUCGAUGUUGUGAGGCAUCACAUUUGCUUUGCAACGGCUGACGACACGGCGGAAGCUGAGUUUGUUUCAUUAUGUUGCCUGAUUCACCACAGCCAUCAGAGGAAAUUCUUCACAACAUCUACUUCUGGAGCGGUGAGUUCACAAUAGACGACGGUCCACUUAGAAGUUUCAACGAC